rnacentral:lncRNA from 1 species
UCCUAUCCUGGCUCCAACCGUAAGCAGGGAAAAGGAAGUGAAAGGACCUCUCUUUGGAACAAAUGUCUGUGCUGGAUCUGGCCUCUGAGCAAGAAGAAGGCAAAGGAGAAAACAACCUUAAAAAAAAAGAAAAGAGAGAGAAAGAAAGGAAGGAAGGAAGGAAGGAAGGAAGGAAGGAAG